rnacentral:rRNA from 2 species
CUUCCUUGUUUCUCCCGCCUAUAUACCACCGUCGUCAGCUUACCCUGUGAAGGGCUCAUAGUAAGCAAGAUUGGCACAGCCCAAAACGUCAGGUCGAGGUGUAGCGUAUGGAAAGGGAAGAAAUGGGCUACAUUCCCUAAUACAGUGAACUACGGACGAUAUACUGAAACACAUAUCUGAAGGAGGAUUUAGCAGUAAGCAGAAAAUAGAGCGUUCCGCUGAAACUGGCCCUGAAGCGCGCACACACCGCCCGUCACUCUCCCCAAGCUCACAGUCUUCAAUACUUAAUAUUCUUAAAAUGCAAAGGGGAGGCAAGUCGUAACAUGGUAAGUGUACCGGAAGGUGCACUUGGAAAAAU